rnacentral:rRNA from 1 species
UACGGAGGGUGCAAGCGCUGUCCGGAAUCACUGGGCGUAAAGGGCGCGUAGGCGGCUCAUGAAGGCUGUGGUGAAAGUCCGGGGCUCAACCUCGGAUCGGCCGUGGCGACUCGUGGGCUGGAGCACUGUAGAGGCGGGUGGAAUUCCGGGUGUAGCGGUGGAAUGCGUAGAGAUCCGGAGGAACACCAGGGGCGAAGGCGGCCGACUGGCCGAGUGCUGACGCUGAGGCGCGACGGCGUGGGGAGCAAACCGG